UUAUCUGGCCGACACACGACUACU
rnacentral:siRNA from 1 species